rnacentral:tRNA from 1 species
UCCCAGGUGGCUCAGAGGUAAAGGAUCUGGCUGGUGAGCAGGAGAUGCAGGUUUGAUUCCUGGAUUGGGAA